GAUGAACGCUGGCGGCGUGCCUAAUACAUGCAAGUCGAGCGAACGGACGAGAAGCUUGCUUCUCUGAUGUUAGCGGCGGACGGGUGAGUAACACGUGGAUAACCUACCUAUAAGACUGGGAUAACUUCGGGAAACCGGAGCUAAUACCGGAUAAUAUUUUGAACCGCAUGGUUCAAAAGUGAAAGACGGUCUUGCUGUCACUUAUAGAUGGAUCCGCGCUGCAUUAGCUAGUUGGUAAGGUAACGGCUUACCAAGGCAACGAUGCAUAGCCGACCUGAGAGGGUGAUCGGCCACACUGGAACUGAGACACGGUCCAGACUCCUACGGGAGGCAGCAGUAGGGAAUCUUCCGCAAUGGGCGAAAGCCUGACGGAGCAACGCCGCGUGAGUGAUGAAGGUCUUCGGAUCGUAAAACUCUGUUAUUAGGGAAGAACAUAUGUGUAAGUAACUGUGCACAUCUUGACGGUACCUAAUCAGAAAGCCACGGCUAACUACGUGCCAGCAGCCGCGGUAAUACGUAGGUGGCAAGCGUUAUCCGGAAUUAUUGGGCGUAAAGCGCGCGUAGGCGGUUUUUUAAGUCUGAUGUGAAAGCCCACGGCUCAACCGUGGAGGGUCAUUGGAAACUGGAAAACUUGAGUGCAGAAGAGGAAAGUGGAAUUCCAUGUGUAGCGGUGAAAUGCGCAGAGAUAUGGAGGAACACCAGUGGCGAAGGCGACUUUCUGGUCUGUAACUGACGCUGAUGUGCGAAAGCGUGGGGAUCAAACAGGAUUAGAUACCCUGGUAGUCCACGCCGUAAACGAUGAGUGCUAAGUGUUAGGGGGUUUCCUCCCCUUAGUGCUGCAGCUAACGCAUUAAGCACUCCGCCUGGGGAGUACGACCGCAAGGUUGAAACUCAAAGGAAUUGACGGGGACCCGCACAAGCGGUGGAGCAUGUGGUUUAAUUCGAAGCAACGCGGAGAACCUUACCAAAUCUUGACAUCCUUUGACAACUCUAGAGAUAGAGCCUUCCCCUUCGGGGGACAAAGUGACAGGUGGUGCAUGGUUGUCGUCAGCUCGUGUCGUGAGAUGUUGGGUUAAGUCCCGCGACGAGCGCAACCCUUAAGCUUAGUUGCCAUCAUUAAGUUGGGCACUCUAAGUUGACUGCCGGUGACAAACCGGAGGAAGGUGGGGAUGACGUCAAAUCAUCAUGCCCCUUAUGAUUUGGGCUACACACGUGCUACAAUGGACAAUACAAAGGGCAGCGAAACCGCGAGGUCAAGCAAAUCCCAUAAAGUUGUUCUCAGUUCGGAUUGUAGUCUGCAACUCGACUACAUGAAGCUGGAAUCGCUAGUAAUCGUAGAUCAGCAUGCUACGGUGAAUACGUUCCCGGGUCU
rnacentral:rRNA from 1 species